GAGGAUUAUUGGUGCACCCUGUAUAAAUCAAUCGAGAAUAUUAGGGGGACACAGGUGAAGAAAGAGGGAUAAACAAUAAGUUUGGAGGCUGGAAGGACAAUUGGAAAACAAAGCAGAGGAUUCUUUGCUACUGUGAUCCUGGGCAGUGAAGACGAGCAGGUAAGACAAGCAGAGUGCCAGAAAGAUGGUUAAGGCCCCUUCUAGCUCCAUGAUGCUAGUCAAGAGGUUAUGAGCAAGGCAUCAGAUUCUGCCUGAAAAGAAUCUGAUACAAAGAUACAGAACACCAAGAGAAAAAUAUCAAUAGAGAGGACCUCCAUUUUUCUAUUGAAAAUAG
rnacentral:lncRNA from 1 species